AAUUGCAGACUGGCCUUUUCAAGGGAAAUACCCAAGCCCUGCCCUAAAUUUUGCAUUCGGCUGCCUUAGCACUCUGCGUCCUCACACCGACCCUGGGGUCCUGUUUGUCCAGAGGCAGCGUGGCACCAACCCAGCUGUGUGUGCUUUGGAGCUGGAUACUCCUAAACACGUUUGGGUUUGAACCCCAGCUCUGAUCCUGCCAGCAAGGAGCCUUAGAGCAAGUGCCUUAACCUUCUGGGCCUCAGUUUCCCUCAUCUGAAAAUGGGUGUGAUCAAGUCACCUCCCAGGGAUGUUUUCGAGGAUAGAGGGGCCUAUGUAACAACUCCCCGGCAUCCAUACCUCCACAGCCCAGAGUGGGGUCUCAGGGAUGUGGGCUGUACCUAGGCCUAACUUCUGUCCGGACUGACCAGCACGCCUUCAGAAAGACUCUCGGGUUUACAGUACACGAGAGUGCACAGCUCUCCCAGACAUUCCAGGCAAUGUUACUUCAUCCACUUAUGGAAAUUUGCCUUUUUCAUAAUGAGGAAACUGAGGCACAGAGUGGUUAAGUGACUUGUUCAAGAUCACAGGGCUGGAGAGUGGUGACUAGUUUUAAUGGCUAGGAGAAGCAGGAACAAAAGCUACCAUCUGCUUGGAACCAUUGUUACUUUUGAACAGAAACUCUGGUAUUUGGCAGACAGUAAUGAAUUCAUCUACUUUUGCACAGGAGUAGGGUUAUCUUGCCCUUUGACUGUGCCCUUGUAGGCCAGCAGGAGUUCUGAGAUUCAAGGCGGAUGAAGGGAGUGAACCAUGACCUGGAGUGGAAAAUGUGUCCUUGGGGCUAUGUCCUCCGUGCCUUGGGUCUGGGCUCCACGUGGCCCUCACUGCCUUCUAAUAAUCAUUGCUGACUAUGUGUGAAGUGCCUUGUGCUAGGCACUGUCCUGUGUGAAAUCAGUGGCAUGCUGGGAAAUGUUUGACAAACAGCUCUUGGAGAGAGAACUCCAAUCCACAGCAUUUCCCUUCAUGGUGUAAAUAAUCCCACUUCCCACCAUGGUGGAUCUCAAAGCUAUCAACAUGAGGUCACUGACAGGGAAUUGGGAGAGGUUGCAUACAACUGGGUCUCCUGUGUGGUUCCAAUGCACUGAUCUUAAGAACUCACAGCACCCUGAUUGGGGGACAGCACUUUUAUUACUGCCAGUUUUGUAGAUUAAGGCAUUAAGACAUGGAGAGGUUAAGACAAACACUUCCCAAGAUCACUUGUCAAGUAAAUUCUGAUGCUGAACCCUUGUCUCUGGGAACCCAGAUGAACAUGCUGCCUUCUGAGCAGAGGCCUGUGUCUAGCUCCUCUCUUCCUGAUCUUCUCAGAGCUAAGUCUACCCCCAGUUAAACUCUACUCUCCUUAAGGGCAAGGAUCCCAGCACAAAGCAUGAGCACCAGACACAGACAAAGCAACAAGGAAAUAUUUGGAGAAUUGAAUUGAAUGCUUUGAUUUCAGUUGGAUCAACGAACUCGUCCAAGGUCACACAGAGGGGCAAUAACAGAACCCAUGACUGGAACCCAUUACUGGAACUCAUGACUUUUGGCUUCGGAUAUGAACCUUAAGUAGCACCUUCAGUGUCAAUUCUGAGAUUAUUGUCACAUCCAAGCAUGGACAUGAAGAUUUCUGUUAUUCCUGGGAGGGGGCAGAGGGGCCGUGGCUUCAUACUUUGCAUUUUUGAUGCACCUUUGCCCCCUUUCUUUUGUAGUGAAAAGCAUGACCCAGCACCUUGUAUGUGUUGGAGGCUGAGCAAGACCAAGGGUACCUGGAGGGAGGAGGUCUGAGAUUUAUGGGCUACUUGAUCAUUUUCGAAGUUUUUUUCAUUUGCUGUGGACUGAAUAUUUGUGUCCUCUCAAAAUGUAUAUAUUGAAGCCCUAAUCCCCAGUGGGAUGGUAUUUGGAGGUGGGGCCCAUGGGAGCUAGUUAAAGUUAGAUGAUGUCAUGGAGAUGGGACCCCCAUGAUAGAUUUUGCUCUUACAAAAGGAGAAAAAGACAGGAUAGGUUUCUCUCCACUGAAUGAGGAUGCAACAAGAAGAUAGUCUGCAAACCAGAAGAGCACCCUCACCAGACACCAAAUCUGCUAGUACCCUGAUCUUGGACUUCCCAGUGUCCAGAGCUGUGAGAAAUGUUUGUUGGUUUGUUGUCUCAGCCACCCAGUCUAUGGUAUUUUGUUAUAGCGCCCAAAUAGACUAAGACACAUGAUGUCAGUGUUUCCUAAACUAGCAAUGCACUGGGGGCAACCAGUGCAACAUGGUUGGUGAUAUGUGAAUGAACCUUUUAAAAUGUUAAUACUUUUGCAUUUAUUUUAAUAUGUGUUAAAAUAUUUCUAGUGUAUUAUAUCAGAAAUAGUUUUCACUGCAAACAACAAAACAAAAAAUAAAGAAAACAGCAACAAAAACCAGUGGCUUCAACAGGAAGUUUAUUUCUCCUCUGCUGUAAGUCAGGGGCUGGCAUGGCAUGGGAUAUGGUUUGGGUCUGUGUCCCCACCCAAAUCUCAUCUCAAAUUGUAAUCUUCAGUGUUGCAGGAGGGGCCUGGUGGAAGGUGACUGGAUCAUGGGGGUGGUUUCUCCCAUGCUGUUGUUGUGAUAGUGAGUUCCCACAUGAUCUGAUGGUUUAAAAGUGACACUUCCCCCUUCUCUCUCCCUCUUGCUGCUGUGGUAAGACAUGCCUUGCUUCCCCUUCCCCUUCUGCCAUGAUUGUAAGUUUCCUGAGGCCUCCCAGUUAUGCUUCCUGUUAAGCCUGUGGAACUGUAAGUCAAUUAAACCUCUUUUCUUCAUAAAUUACCCAUCCUCAGGUAGUUCUUCAUAGCAGUGUAAAAACAGACUACUACAGAAAAUUGGUACCAGAAAUGGGGCACUGCUAUAAAGA